CUCCGGCCUGAAGAUGCAGUCUGAGACUCUUAUAUUUACGCGAUUCAUCAUUGCAACCACUGUCUGUAAUACAGGUUCAAUACACUAAUAGGAGUACAACAGACCAAAAGAAUGGGAACUGAGAAUCUGAGAAUAAUGACAUUGAAUGUUGAUCUCCAGUGUCCAUGCUGCUACAACAAGCUCAGGAAAAUUCUUUGCGACAUUCCCCAAGUUUCAGAUCGAGUGUAUGAUAUGAACAAAAAUCAAGUGAUGAUCACGGUGGUUUGCUGCAACCCAGAGAAAAUUCGUGACAAAUUGUGUAGUAAGGGUCGCAAAGUCAUAAAAAGCAUAAUUAUGUAGUACUCCUUCUUCCUAAAUGAGGCAGCUUAUUGAAGUUCUAGCUACUCCUUCCGAGUAUGCAUUUUAAUUUCAAAAUUUCAUAGACUUUGUAUUUAAUGUGUGUAAUUGAAUAUUGAUAUGUAUCUGUCAAUUGUAUUAUACCUUUGCCAUUGAUUUAAAAUGAACAUUAUACUUAGUGGCCAUGGUGCCAAGCUCA